rfam:Picea glauca, whole genome shotgun sequence.
ACAUGCCUACAUCAUAGCGUUAAUGCAUCGGAUCCCAUUAGAACUCUGCAGUUAAGCGUGCUCAGGCUAGAGUAGUACUGGUGAUCGCCCAGGAAUUCCUAGCGUUCUACAUGCC